CCUACGGGGGGCAGCAGUGAGGAAUAUUGGUCAAUGGGCGCGAGCCUGAACCAGCCAAGUAGCGUGAAGGAUGACUGCCCUACGGGUUGUAAACUUCUUUUAUAAAGGAAUAAAGUGAGGCACGUGUGCCUUUAUGUAUGUACUUUAUGAAUACUGAUCGGCUAACUCCGUGCCAGCAGCCGCGGUAAUACGGAGGAUCCGAGCGUUAUCCGGAUUUAUUGGGUUUAAAGGGAGCGUAGAUGGGUUGGUAAGUCAGUUGUGAAAGGUUGCGGCUCAACCGGAAGAUUGCAAUUGAUACUGGCAGCCUGGAGUACAGUAGGGGGAGGCGGAAUUCGUGGUGUAGCGGUGAAAUGCGUAGAUAUCACGAAGAACUCCGAUUGCGAAGGCAGCCUACUAAACUGCCACUGACAUUGAUGCUCGAAAGUGUGGGGAGCAAACAGGAUUAGAUACCCGGGUAGUC
rnacentral:rRNA from 1 species